rnacentral:tRNA from 1 species
UGGUAGAGCACUUCCAUGGUAAGGAAGGGGUCGCCGGUUCAAAUCCGGCUGGAAGCUCUGUAGAAUGUUUUA